UUGUGUAAUGCAUCUUUGUAUGGUACAUACAAGUAUACGACUGGACAUCCUCACAACUUUUAUUCUAUUUGGUCACGAUCUUUUAUGCUGACCAUGGUUAGCUGAAGGAAAAUGAUAAAUGAGUAGGAAAUGUUUUAUUGACUUACAUGUUUUCGCGGGUCACAGAUUUAUGGACCUCUUCCAUUCAUCAUUUGUUCAUUAUGUUGUGGUUUAUUUGUGCCAUGAGUUUGUCAAAACAUCAGCAGUGUCGGUUACUACUGCUCUUGCAGAUACACAAAUACAAGAUGGACAACAUCCACCAUGUGGGAUUCAUCGACCCACAUAAAGUAAACCCGAUAACGAUCCGAACCAAACCAAAAGAAUCCAAGGACUAUGCAUUGGAGUGUAUUCUAGAGCUACAAUUGAAGAAAUACAUACUUUUACCCUACCAAUUUGGGUUUCACUGGACCCUCCUUAUCAAUCAGCUAGACAUUUGCAAGAUCAUUGUCCUGGACUCUCAAAAUAAUCCAAAAGAAACCUAUCAACCUGUCAUUGACUUGCUACAAAGCUCCUCAAGUUAGCCCUAGAUGGACUCUUGCCUAUUGAAAUCAAUGCACUUCUAGAACAACUUGUCGGGUUCAUCAGUGACCAAGUAAUCAAUCCAAUUGGCGAACUACGAUGAAAUUGCCUGGUCAUUCUUGUUACCUUCAUCUAACAAGAAAAGACAUAGUACAAACCCUUCGAUUAGUAAGAAAUUUUAAACUUCUUAUCAUUGUUGUGAUAAAACUUGACACGUAUGUAGUGUAUAUAUACUGUGAUGAGACUUGAGGUUUUAUGACUUAAAUUUAUGUGUACUUGUGUA